rnacentral:rRNA from 1 species
UACGAGGGGGGCUAGCGUUGCUCGGAAUCACUGGGCGUAAAGGGUGCGUAGGCGGGUCUUUAAGUCAGAGGUGAAAUCCUGGAGCUCAACUCCAGAACUGCCUUUGAUACUGAGGAUCUUGAGUUCGGGAGAGGUGAGUGGAACUGCGAGUGUAGAGGUGAAAUUCGUAGAUAUUCGCAAGAACACCAGUGGCGAAGGCGGCUCACUGGCCCGAUACUGACGCUGAGGCACGAAAGCGUGGGGAGCAAACAGG